GACAGAGGGUGCAAACGUUGCUCGGAAUCACUGGGCGUAAAGGGUGCGUAGGCGGGUCUUUAAGUCAGGGGUGAAAUCCUGGAGCUCAACUCCAGAACUGCCUUUGAUACUGAAAGUCUUGAGUAUGGGAGAGGUGAGUGGAACUGCGAGUGUAGAGGUGAAAUUCGUAGAUAUUCGCAAGAACACCAGUGGCGAAGGCGGCUCACUGGCCCAUUACUGACGCUGAGGCACGAAAGCGUGGGGAGCAAACAGG
rnacentral:rRNA from 1 species